rnacentral:rRNA from 1 species
GAUGAACGCUGGUGGCGUGCCUAAUACAUGCAAGUCGAGCGAACAGACGAGGAGCUUGCUCCUCUGAUGUUAGCGGCGGACGGGUGAGUAACACGUGGAUAACCUACCUAUAAGACUGGGAUAACUUCGGGAAACCGGAGCUAAUACCGGAUAACAUGUUGAACCGCAUGGUUCAACAGUGAAAGACGGUCUUGCUGUCACUUAUAGAUGGAUCCGCGCCGCAUUAGCUAGUUGGUAAGGUAACGGCUUACCAAGGCAACGAUGCGUAGCCGACCUGAGAGGGGGAUCGGCCACACUGGAACUGAGACACGGUCCAGACUCCUACGGGAGGCAGCAGUAGGGAAUCUUCCGCAAUGGGCGAAAGCCUGACGGAGCAACGCCGCGUGAGUGAAGAAGGUCUUCGGAUCGUAAAACUCUGUUAUUAGGGAAGAACAAAUGUGUAAGUAACUAUGCACGUCUUGACGGUACCUAAUCAGAAAGCCACGGCUAACUACGUG